rnacentral:rRNA from 1 species
GAUGAACGCUGGCGGCGUGCUUAACACAUGCAAGUCGAACGGAAAGGCUCCUGCCUGCAGGGGUCCUCGAGUGGCGAACGGGUGAGUAACACGUGGGUGAUCUGCCCUGUACUUCGGGAUAAGCUUAGGAAACUGGGUCUAAUACCGGUUAUGACAAUCUCUUGGAUGGGGUUGGAUAAAGCUUUUGCGGUAUGGGAUGAGCUCGCGGCCUAUCCGCUUGUUGGUUGGGUAAUGGCCUACCAAAGCCUCGUCGGGUAUCCUGCCUGAGGGGGUGUACGGCCAUAUUGGGUCUGAGCUACGCCACAGACUCCUACUGGCGGCAGCAGUAGGGAAUAUUCCCUCACGGGCCCAGGCCAGACAGACCCACCCCGUGUGGCGAAUGACGGCCUUCGCGCUGUAAACUCCUUUCCCAGCAGACGAAGCCUUUGUGACGGUACUUAGAGGAGAAGGCCCGGCUACCUCCGUG